rnacentral:rRNA from 1 species
ACGGAAGGCAGCAGUAGGGAAUAUUGCACAAUGGGGGGAACCCUGAUGUAGCAACGCCACGUGUGGGAAGACGCAUUUCGGUGUGUAAACCACUGUCGUGAGGGAAUAAGGCUACUUUCCGGAGUAGUUGGAUGUACCUUGAAAGGAAGCACCGGCAAACUUCGUGCCAGCAGCCGCGGUAAUACGAGGGGUGCAAGCGUUGUUCGGAAUCACUGGGCGUAAAGGGAGCGCAGGCGGAGAUGCAAGCGGACUGUACAAUACCGGGGCCCAACCCCGGACCUGCAGUCCGGACUGCACCUCUUGGAUAGUUCAGGGGCAAGCGGAAUUCCUGGUGUAGCGGUGGAAUGCGUAGAGAUCAGGAAGAACACCGAUGGCGAAGGCAGCUUGCUGGGGACUAAUCGACGCUCAUGCUCGAAAGUGCGGGUAGCAAACAGGAUUAGAUACCCUGGUA